rnacentral:lncRNA from 1 species
UCUCUUGAUGGGGAUUUAGGCUACAGCACUGGGAAAAUAAUCAUGGGACUGGAUUUCAGGGCCCUGGCCACCUCAGCUCUUCAGGAAUGAAAAGCAUAAUGUUUUCCAUGGUGAUGCUGUGUCUCUACCUCCUCCCUCUGAACCUUGUGAGAGCCACGAACUAGGCUGGACUUUGGUGUCUGCCCUUCAGAUGAUUGGUGCCAUAAGAGGGCCACAAGCGGCACUAUUUCCAAGACAUGGAAACAACCUAAAUGUUCAUUGACAGAUGAGUGGAUGAAGAAGAUGUGGUACAUAUACACAAUGGAAUACUACUCAGCCAUAAAAAAGAACAAAAUAAGGCCAUUUGUAGCAACAUAGAUGGAACUGGAGAGUCUUAUACCAAAUGAAGCUUUUUAAUGUCAGCUCCAAAACUCGAAGUGUACAUAUCAGGAGCUUGGAAGAAAAGCCUGGAGAAAGAGUGGAGCACUCUUUUUAAUACCUGAUGCAGAUUACAUCUUCUGAUGCCCCCCAAGGUGCUAUUACAGAGGACAACAUGGACAUCAACACCUCUGAUUCAGAAAAAUUGAUCUCUGAAUGCUAUUAUGAAUAAUUGUGCCAUGUACAUGGGUGUUUGGAUAUCUUUGAGACCACACUUUCAGUUCUUUUGGGUAUAUGCCCAGAAGUAGAAUUGUUGGAUCAUAUGGCCAUUAAAAUAAAAACUAUUCAAGAAGUCAGCUGCUGCUAUAAAGGUCAUCUGGAAAGUCCAGGGAAGGACCCUGAGCUGCUGCUGGGAAAGAGAAAUUGUCCUCUGGCUCGUGAGCUGUCAUGUUUGUCUGCUGAGUGGCUUCAGUGGUUUCAUCUGUUGCUGAAAGAGCCAAGAGAGAGGGAUAAAACGGGACUAUAAUCCAUACCACAAUGAGCGGGACGGGACCAGCAGCCCAGAAGAAGCAAAAGGAAUCUUAAUGAAUUGGAGACAAUUGGAGGUGGUUUAUAAGGAUGAAGUUCAAAGGUUUUUCUUUAGAAGCCAUUGAGUUGGUAGUCUAGGAGAGCACCUUGUAGUGGUAUUUGCAUAAGGAGAAAGAUGUCAAAUAUUCAAAGAUGCCUUUACUCAAAGAGCCAGUGGCACUUAAGUGGCCAAAUAGCUUACAAGCACUUAUUAAGAUGAAUGGAUAAAGAAGAUGUGGUAUAGAUACACAAUAGAAUAUUACUCAGCCAUUAAAAGGGAAUAAACUAUUGCCAUCUGCAACAACAUGGAUCGAACCGGAGGGUAUUAUGAUAAGUGAAGUAAGUCAAAGACAAAUAUUGUAUGUUUUCACCUAUAUGUGUAAUCAAGAAAAAUAAAUGAACAAAUAUAGCAAAACAGAAAUAGACUCAUAGAUAGAACAUACUAGUGGUUUUCAAUAUUAAAAAAAUAUUGAAUCACUAUAUUGUAUAUGUGAAACUAAUAUGAUAUUGUAAGUUAAAUAGACUUCAAUUUUUAAAAAAAGUAAUUUUAAAAAACAAUAGAGGAGUUUCCACUGUGUGACUUCCAUGGCUCUGGUCACUGUGGAGGUGCAGGUUUGAUCCCCAGCCCAGUGCAGUGGGUUAAAGGAUUUGGCAUUGCCACUGCUGCAACUCGGAUUUAGUCCUUGGCCCAGGAACUUCCAUAGGCCGUGGGUGCAGCCAUUGGAAAAAAAAAAA